UUUCUCCCGAUCGACAACACGCAUAACGUCGGUCAAGAGCAGACUGGGAUGAGGUGGACCCAGACUCUCUGCAUGGCCUGUCGGAUCCCUGGGCAUCCUGGAGGUGUAUCGAGACUGAGAACUAGCCAGCCGCCAGCAGACUAAGAUCAUCUCGCAAGCCAAACAAGGAAGCUAGGAGCAAGUGAUGAUAUGGUGUGUGGAAGAAAAGAAGACCAGCAAUAACUAAGAGUGGUGGUUGAAGCCAUUCUCAUUGCACUGCCUUCCUGUCCUCAAGCCAGUCUCCUGCCACUAGGAGUAUGGUGUUAUGCCCAUCGAGCAGUUGUCUGAACUGGAGACUGUGGUACAGCAGCCAACAUCAAUCUUAGGUUGAUCUGACAGGUAAAC